rnacentral:rRNA from 1 species
UACGUAGGGUGCGAGCGUUAAUCGGAAUAACUGGGCGUAAAGGGCACGCAGGCGGUUAAUUAAGUUAGGUGUGAAAUCCCCGGGCUUAACCUGGGAAUGGCAUUUAAGACUGAUUAGCUGGAGUAUCGUAGAGGGGGGUAGAAUUCCACGUGUAGCGGUGAAAUGCGUAGAGAUGUGGAGGAAUACCGGUGGCGAAGGCGGCCCUCUGGACGAAUACUGACGCUGAGGUGCGAAAGCGUGGGGAGCAAACAGG